rnacentral:rRNA from 1 species
GAUGAACGCUGGCGAGAUGCCUUACACAUGCAAGUCAUACGGGAAUUUUGAAUUCAAGUGGCGGACGGGUGAGUAACACGUAAGAAUUUACCUUUAGGAGGGGGAUAACAACUGGAAACGGUUGCUAAUACCCCAUAGGCUUUCGAGUGAAAUGGAUUUUUCCGCCUAGAGAGAAGCUUGCGGCUGAUUAGCUUGUUGGUGAGGUAAUGGCUUACCAAGGCGACGAUCAGUAUCUGGUUUGAGAGGACGAUCAGACACACUGGAACUGAGACACGGUCCAGACUCCUACGGGAGGCAGCAGUGGGGAAUUUUCCGCAAUGGGCGAAAGCCUGACGGAGCAAUCUCGCGUGAGGGAUGACGGCCUAUGGGUUGUAAACCUCUUUUUUCAGGGAGGAACAAAAUGACGUGUACCUGAAGAAUAAGCAUCGGCUAACUCCGUGCCAGCAGCCGCGGUAAGACGGAGGAUGCAAGUGUUAUCCGGAAUCACUGGGCGUAAAGCGUCUGUAGGUGGUUUACUAAGUCAACUGUUAAAUCUUGAAGCUCAACUUCAAAAUCGCAGUCGAAACUAGUAGACUAGAGUAUAGUAGGGGUAAAGGGAAUUUCCAGUGGAGCGGUGAAAUGCGUAGAGAUUGGAAAGAACACCGAUGGCGAAGGCACUUUACUGGGCUAUUACUGACACUCAGAGACGAAAGCUAGGGUAGCAAAUGGGAUUAGAUACCCCAGUAGUCCUAGCCGUAAACAAUGGAUACUAGAUGUUGAACAGAUCGACCUGUGCAGUAUUAAAGCUAACGCGUUAAGUAUCCCGCCUGGGAAGUAUGCUCGCAAGAGUG